CGUAAGGGUAAUAAUAAUUCCCUUUGCAACCUAUGUUAGACGUGAUUGUGUGCGCGAGAAAACGAAUGUUUUUCUAUUGCAAUCACUGUAGGGAUAAAUAUUUUGAAUGCAUGAUAUUAGUGUUUUUUGAAGUUAACGUUUUUAUUUACACAUAGACAGUAAUUAUUUUCUUUCAUUCAUUCUUUCCACACGUGCUUUGUACAACUGAUUUUUAUCAAUGACUUUAUCAUUUGCAUACUAUAACUUUACUAUGGAAUUCGAAAGUUAGAAGGGAGGAAAUGUUAUGUCUAAUUGAAACUGACAAUACAAACUAUUAAAGUUACAACGAAUUGUUAUCAAAUGAACUGUAAUCUCUAAAGUGAUGAAAACCAUAUGGCACCGCCUAUACCGUUACCUACCACA
rnacentral:lncRNA from 1 species